AAGUCGUAACGAGGUUUCCGUAGGUGAACCUGCGGAAGGAUCAUUAAAAGUAAUUGGUUAUACAUAUCCUGUAUCAACUGCACAAACCCAUUCCGAGUACCUUGCCUGUUGCUUCCAUGGGGCCUGACUUUGGUCACUCUUGUGAUGCGAAUCCCAAGAGAGUCCCCAUGGGGGGUAAUCAUUAAAUUCAUGAAUCCAAUGUCUUCUGUCUGAAAUGUUAAAAACAAAUGUUAAAA
rnacentral:misc_RNA from 1 species